GGGGGUGAAUCAGGUUCGACACGGGAUGGGGUGGCAUUCGCGGCGAGCCGAGCUUCCCUGACUCGUUAAUCCGGGGAAACCCAAUAAGUGCCAACAACAACACUGCUCUAGCAGUCGCUGCGUAAGCAGCUGCUACGCCUGCCCGGUGACGCCCGCUAACCGGAACCAGGUGUCAUGAAGCGGGAUGGCUCCGGCCGAGUGCCUGGUAGGUCGGAGGACUCAUACAGGCUGGUGCCGGACGGACCUGGCUCUCGAGGGCCGGCCGGGACGAGAAGAAAGCGAGAGCUACGCUCGUAGAUGCGGGUGUGGUCCCUCUCGUGGACAGCGGUGCAACUCCGCUCACCUCCACCA
rnacentral:tmRNA from 1 species